UACGAAGGGGGCUAGCGUUGCUCGGAAUCACUGGGCGUAAAGCGCACGUAGGCGGAUUGCUAAGUCAGGGGUGAAAUCCUGGAGCUCAACUCCAGAACUGCCUUUGAUACUGGCGAUCUCGAGUUCGGGAGAGGUGAGUGGAACUGCGAGUGUAGAGGUGAAAGUUCGUAGAUAUUCGCAAGAACACCAGUGGCGAAGGCGGCUCACUGGCCCGAUACUGACGCUGAGGUGCGAAAGCGUGGGGAGCAAACAGG
rnacentral:rRNA from 1 species